UUUGUCGAGCCUGCGACUUUUGUCGCAGAAAGCUCGACAUAGGGAUAGCGAUCCGGCGGCAGCGGCGGCGGCGGCGUUAGCUAACUUCUUAAAAGCUUUAUAUUUUAGAAGGUGGAAGGUCUGGAGGCUUCAUACUUUGUAUAUGGAUGCCUCAUGUUACGAAGUUUCGGUCAGUCACAUGUCCAAUGUCCUUGACCUCAUUUUCAUGGUUCAGUGACUACUUGAAAAAAAAGUUAAGAUUUUUUGUAAUGUUAGAUUCUCUCUUAUUAUAAGUAAUAAGAUAACUAUAUUUGGUAUGUGCGUACCUUGCAAGGUCCUCAUGCCCGUCAGACAGUUUUCACUUGACCUCGACCUCAUUUCAUGGAUCAGUGAACAAGGUUAAGUUUUGGUGGUCAAGUCCAUAUCUCAGAUACUAUAAGCAAUAGGUCUAGUAUAUUCGGUGUAUGGAAGGACUGUAAGGUGUACAUGUCCAACUGGCAGGUGUCAUCUGACCUUGACCUCAUUUUCAUGGUUCAGUGGUUAUAGUUAAGUUUUUGUGUUUUGGUCUGUUUUUCUUAUACUGUAUGCCAUAGGUCUACUAUAUUUGGUGUAUGGAAUGAUUGUAAGGUGUACAUGUCUAGCGGGCAGGUGUCAUCUGACCUUGACCUUAUUUUCAUGGUUCAGUGGUCAAAGUUAAGUUUUUGAGUUUUGGUCUUUUUUUCUAAUACUAUGUGCAAUAGUUCAACUAUAUUUGGUAUGUGCGUACCUUGCAAGGUCCUCAUGCCCGUCAGACAGUUUUCACUUGACCUCGACCUCAUUUCAUGGAUCAAUGAACAAGGUUAAGUUUUGGUGGUCAAGUCCAUAUCUCAGAUACUAUAAGCAAUAGGUCUAGUAUAUUCGGUGUAUGGAAGGACUGUAAGGUGCACAUGUCCAACUGGCAGGUGUCAUCUGACCUUGACCUCAUUUUCAUGGUUCAGUGGUUAUAGUUAAGUUUUUGUGUUUUGGUCUGUUUUUCUUAUACUAUAUGCAAUAGUUCAACUAUAUUUGGUGUAUAGAAAUAUUUUAUGAUCUAUUUGGCAGUCACGCAGGUUUUAUUUGACCUUGACCUCAUUUUCAAGGUUCAUUGCUCAGUGUUAAGUUUUUGUGUUUUGGUCUGUUUUUCUUAUACUGUAUGCAAUAGGUCUACUAUAUUUGGUGUAUGAAAUGAUUGUAAGGUGUACAUGUCUAGCUGGCAGGUGUCAUCUGACCUUGACCUCAUUUUCAUGGAUCAGUGGUCAAAGUUAAGUUUUUGAGUUUUGGUCUUUUUUUCUAAUACUAUAUGCAAUAGUUCAACUAUAUUUGGUGUAUGGAGAUAUUUUAUGAUCUAUAUGUCAGUCACGCAGGUUUUAUUUGACCUUGACCUCAUUUUCAAGGUUCAUUGCUCAGUGUUAAGUUUUUGUGUUUUGGUCUGUUUUUUGUCGAGCCUGCGACUUUUGUAGCAGAAAGCUCGACAUAGGGAUAGCGAUCCGGCGGCGGCGGCGGCGUUAGCUAACUUCUUAAAAGCUUUAUAUUUUAGAAGGUGGAAGGUCUGGAUGCUUCAUACUUUGUAUAUGGAUGCCUCAUGUUACGAAGUUUCCGUCAGUCACAUGUCCAAUGUCCUUGACCUCAUUUUCAUGGUUCAGUGACUACUUGAAAAAAAAGUUCAGAUUUUUUGUAAUGUUAGAUUCUCUCUUAUUAUAAGUAAUAAGAUAACUAUAUUUGGUAUGUGCGUACAUUGCAAGGUCCUCAUGCCCGUCAGACAGUUUUCACUUGACCUCGACCUCAUUUCAUGGAUCAGUGAACAAGGUUAAGUUUUCGUGGUCAAGUCCAUAUCUCAGAUACUAUAAGCAAUAGGUCUAGUAUAUUCGGUGUAUGGAAGGACUGUAAGGUGUACAUGUCCAACUGGCAGGUGUCAUCUGACCUUGACCUCAUUUUCAUGGUUCAGUGGUUAUAGUUAAGUUUUUGUGUUUUGGUCUGUUUUUCUUAUACUGUAUGCCAUAGGUCUACUAUAUUUGGUGUAUGGAAUGAUUGUAAGGUGUACAUGUCUAGCGGGCAGGUGUCAUCUGACCUUGACCUUAUUUUCAUGGUUCAGUGGUCAAAGUUAAGUUUUUGAGUUUUGGUCUUUUUUUCUAAUACUAUGUGCAAUAGUUCAACUAUAUUUGGUAUGUGCGUACCUUGCAAGGUCCUCAUGCCCGUCAGACAGUUUUCACUUGACCUUGACCUCAUUUCAUGGAUCAAUGAACAAGGUUAAGUUUUGGUGGUCAAGUCCAUAUCUCAGAUACUAUAAGCAAUAGGUCUAGUAUAUUUGGUGUAUGGAAGGACUGUAAGGUGUACAUGUCCAACUGGCAGGUGUCAUCUGACCUUGACCUCAUUUUCAUGGUUCAGUGGUUAUAGUUAAGUUUUUGUGUUUUGGUCUGUUUUUCUUAUACUGUAUGCCAUAGGUCUACUAUAUUUGGUGUAUGGAAUGAUUGUAAGGUGUACAUGUCUAGCGGGCAGGUGUCAUCUGACCUUGACCUUAUUUUCAUGGUUCAGUGGUCAAAGUUAAGUUUUUGAGUUUUGGUCUUUUUUUCUAAUACUAUGUGCAAUAGUUCAACUAUAUUUGGUAUGUGCGUACCUUGCAAGGUCCUCAUGCCCGUCAGACAGUUUUCACUUGACCUUGACCUCAUUUCAUGGAUCAAUGAACAAGGUUAAGUUUUGGUGGUCAAGUCCAUAUCUCAGAUACUAUAAGCAAUAGGUCUAGUAUAUUUGGUGUAUGGAAGGACUGUAAGGUGUACAUGUCCAACUGGCAGGUGUCAUCUGACCUUGACCUCAUUUUCAUGGUUCAGUGGUUAUAGUUAAGUUUUUGUGUUUUGGUCUGUUUUUCUUAUACUAUAUGCAAUAGUUCAACUAUAUUUGGUGUAUGGAAAUAUUUUAUGAUCUAUUUGGCAGUCACGCAGGUUUUAUUUGACCUUGACCUCAUUUUCAAGGUUCAUUGCUCAGUGUUAAGUUUUUGUGUUUUGGUCUGUUUUUCUUAAACUAUAAGCAAUAGGUCAACUAUAUUUGUUGUAUGGAUGAAUUGUUAGCUGUACAUGCCUGCCUAGCAUGGUUCAUCUGACCUUGACC